UCUAGACCAAAAUAAUUACAGCAGUAGAAUAUAGCAUGAUUUUCUAUGCCUCUUUGUCUGUUCCUCUGCUUUUGUGUUUCAAGAAUACCAAGCAACUCAUGUGGCUUGUACUUUGCUUUGCAGUUCCUUAGGAUGAGGAGGUACUGAGGUUAUUGCUGGGUCCUGAUGGUGUUUAGCAUCUGCAGCCUUAGACUCAUUCCUUUGGCUAAUUUUCAUCAUCAGUCUUUCAGACUUUGAUUUUACUGGCAUCCUGAUCAGGAAUUGAUUUGUCUUAUUAAUUUUUUUUUAGUUAUGUGGUUUUCUUUGUUUUUGUUGUUGUUUUUAGAGACGGAGUCUUUCUAUGUUGCCCAGGCUGGACUCAAACUCUUGAGCUCAGAUGAUCCUCCCACCUCAGCCUCCUAAGUAUCUGGGACUAUACAUGUGCCAGUGUGCCCAGCUUAACAUCAAUUUAAUUUACUUCUUCCACCAAAUGAACUUUAGUGUUUAUUCAGCUAACAGAUUAUGAAGCCUUCAGCAGUGCUUUUGUAGCAGCAUUCAUUUUCUCUUCUUUUUCUUCUUUUUUUUUUUUUUUUUUUUUGAGACAGUCUCGCUCUGUCACCCAGGCUGGAGUGCAGUGACAUGAUCUCAGCUCUCUGCAACCUCCACCUCCCAGGUUCAAGCAAUUCUCCUCCCUCAGCCUCCUGAGUAGCUGGGAUUACAGGUGCAUACCACCAUGCCUAGUUAAUUUUUAUAUUUUUAGUAGAGAUGGGUUUCACCAUAUUGACCAGGUUGGUUUUGAACUCCUGAUCUCAGGUGAUCCACCCGCCUUGGCCUCCCAAACUGCUGGGAUUAUAGGUGUGAACCAUUGCGCUGGCCCACAGUCUUCAUUUUUAAUAUUUUCACCAGAAUGAUCUCUUUCAAAAUGAAAAUGGGAUGAGCAUGUGCACACAUAGACCCCUGCACACACACACACACCCUACACUCCUAGCUUACUAUCCUAUUGUCACUUGGUAUUAUUCAAAGAAUGAAAACCAAACUUCUUACCAUGACCUCAGGCCUUAUAUGGUCUCUCCUCUACCUUCCUCAUCCAGCCUUAUCUUGUAUAACUCUCCUCCCUUCCCUCUGUAUUCCAGCUUCUCAGCUUUCUCUUCCUUCCGCCACAGGUCCUUCGCAUUUAUGUCGUCUCUAAAUGAAAUACUAUCCCCUACCAGUCCCCCUUUCCCUAGUCCAUGUCUGCUCAGCCUUCAAGUAUCAGCUUAAAUCUUGAGGGAGUAUUUUCUGAACUCCUUUGUCAAGUCAGUCCUUUGCUAUGUACUCUCACAAAAGUUUGUUUCUCUCCCUCAGAUAAUUUAUCUCACACUUUCAUUAGAGCAAUUUGAUUAUUGUUUUAUCCCCCAUAGACUAUAAGCUUUAGCAUUUGGAAUACAAUGAUAAAUAUUGUCCUUACUGUUAAAAACUUGGAAGAGUUUAUGACUUUAGUAAGGAAGACAAACCUGUGAGAGAGGUAAGUACCUAUCAUGUGGGGGGGAGGUCUUUGGAAGCUCAGCAAACCUUACUUCCCCUCCUGUGUUGAUAUAACCAGUUGACAACCAGUAAUUCCAGCUUUCCCUUUCACUGUAGGCCAGGUCCUCCAGGCCCUGUGCUUACUUAGAACCUAAAUGCUCCAUGAAACCUCAGCAACUAAGGUCAUCAUUUUAUUUAUAGAAGUGAGACACAUUUUAGGCAGUCUAGCAUUGUAGGUUGCUGUGCCCCCAAAGGGGCAAUACCAACAGACAGAUUAUUUAAAAGGGUUAUAUUUAGAUUGAGAAAUAGGAUAAAUUUCACCAUUUGAUAAAUGAGAGAAUAGUGGCUUAAACAAUAACCACUUCAAUUUGAAAAAUGUUGAAUUAUCUAAAAGGAUCCAGAAAAGUAAAAUUAAUUCAUAGCAAUCUGUAGGAUGAACUAAUAGAAAGCGUGGAAGUCGAACAACUAUUUGGUAAAAAUCACAAUAUGAGAACUGUUUAUACUUUAAGGAACACAAAGGGGGUUUCUUUAAAACCCCAGAUGUUUUAUGGUCUAUGUUACCUAUUGAAAGGCUUUGCGAGAGACAACUUUGCUGGGAGUCACUGGGCAGCUUUUGUGGGGUCGUCGGCGUCUGGGAUCUGCCUCGGCGUGUCUUUGGCAUUGCUCAGCCCCUGCUGCCGCGCGGCAGGCAGAGCUCACACUUCUGUCCCCCAGCUGGUCGGGGGUCCAUACACCGCCUCGAUGGUGGCUCUGCAGGAGACGCGGACCAGACCACAGUCCAUGCCCUGAGCGGACUGCAUUAUGAGGCAUCUGCCUUCUGCCGUGGCCAAGUGGUGCAUGGCUUCAGCCGUGGCUCCAAGCAGCUGAGCAUCCCCACGGCUAAUUUUCCUGAGCAAGUGGUAGAUAAUCUUCCAGCUGAUAUAGCCACUGGCAUUUAUUAUGGUUGGGCCAGUGUUGGAAGUGGAAAUGUCCAUAAGAUGGUGGUGAGCAUAGGCUGGAACCCAUACUACAAGAAUACGAAGAAGUCUAUGGAAACACAUAUCAUGCAUAUCUCAAUGUGGCCGUUGUCCACUACCUCAGACCAGAAGAGAACUUUGAUUCUUUAGAGUCACUUAUUUCAACAAUUCAAGGUGAUAUUGAGGAAGCUAAGAAACGACUAGAUUUACCAGAACAUUUGAAAAUCAAAGAAGACAGUUUCUUCCAGGUUUCCAAAAGCAAAACAAUGAAUGGCCACUGAUGAAAAAUUGUAUUAUUUAUUCAUUCACUGUAAAGUGUUUCUGUGUUUAUUACUGUCCAGCCUCAUCUUGGUUAUGUUUUAAAAAUCAAACACUUUCCUACAGUUGUGAAUUAAACAGUACAAUGUAGUUACCAUAUCAUGCUUCAGCUGUUAAAUGAAGCCCAUUGUGUCAUAGCACUAAAAAGAUUCAUUUAAAAAUCAAGAUUUAAAAAAUACAUAUUGAUUAAAAUGUACCACUAGAAAGGUAUUACUUGUGUAUAAGUAUGGGUAAAACGGCAAGUCACUAGUUUGAGAUGAAAUCAUGGUAAAAUACCAGCAUGUAUGUACUUGUAUAGUGUACACUUCUGAACAAAGAAGGCUUACAAAAGUAAAGGCAUUAAGGCCAAGUGCAGUGGCUCAUGCCUGUAAUCCCAGCACUUUGGGAGCCGAGGUGGGAGGAUUGCUUGAGCUCAGGAGUUCAAGACCAGUCUCGGCAACAUAGCGAGACCCCAUCUCUAUUAAAAAAAAAAAAAAGGAAAUGCAUUAUAUAGAAAAUUGAUAGUUUAUCGUAAACCUACAGGGAAGAAACCCAGACUUUGUAUUUUUGAUAUUUUAUGCAUUAAUACAUUACAAACAUGAAGAUGUUUGUAAAAUUUUGUUUUAGUUAUUUUCUUUGAGGUCGCAUCAUUGUACCAUCUUCAUUUUUGUAUAGAGCUGCUUCAGUGCUAAGUCCUCUGGACUUCCCCUAUCUGUUUUUUGUUGUUGUUGUUGAAGACAGUAAAAUAAGUUUUU